rnacentral:tRNA from 1 species
AGCUCAGGAGGAUAGAGCGCGAGAUUCCUAAUCUCGAGGUCGCAGGUUCGAAUCCUGC